AUGGCACCUCCUUCAUCAGACCUAAGAAAGAUUGGCUUAGAAGGUUUUGAUUUAAUAGAAAAAUUCUAUGGUCCAACAAGAAGGAGCAGCAUGGAAGACCUUGCAUAUGGAGCAGACAAGGAUUCAACUGUUUACUUUGUUGGGAUAUCGAAUGUAAGUUAUCGUAAGGGAAAAUUAUCUCAAAAUCGUUGGGGUAGACCCAUUAAAUUUUAA